GCUUUCGUGCAUGAGCGUCAGUGUUAUCCCAGGAGGCUGCCUUCGCCAUCGGUGUUCCUCCGCAUAUCUACGCAUUUCACUGCUACACGCGGAAUUCCACCUCCCUCUGACACACUCUAGCCCGGUAGUUAAAAAUGCAGUUCCAAAGUUAAGCUCUGGGAUUUCACAUCUUUCUUUCCGAACCGCCUGCGCACGCUUUACGCCCAGUAAUUCCGAUUAACGCUUGCACCCUACGUAUUACCGCGGCUGCUGGCACGUAGUUAGCCGGUGCUUAUUCUGCAGGUACCGUCAGUUUCGCGGGGUAUUAACCCGCGACGUUUCUUUCCUGCCAAAAGUGCUUUACAACCCGAAGGCCUUCAUCGCACACGCGGGAUGGCUGGAUCAGGGUUUCCCCCAUUGUCCAAAAUUCCCCACUGCUGCCUCCCGUAGGAGUCUGGGCCGUGUCUCAGUCCCAGUGUGGCUGGUCGUCCUCUCAAACCAGCUACGGAUCGUCGCCUUGGUGAGCCGUUACCCCACCAACUAGCUAAUCCGAUAUCGGCCGCUCCAAUAGUGCAAGGUCUUGCGAUCCCCUGCUUUCCCCCGUAGGGCGUAUGCGGUAUUAGCUACGCUUUCGCGUAGUUAUCCCCCGCUACUGGGCACGUUCCGAUACAUUACUCACCCGUUCGCCACUCGCCACCAGACCGAAGUCCGUGCUGCCGUUCGACUUGCAUGUGUAAGGCAUCCCGCUAGCGUUCAAUCUGAGCCAGGAUCAAACCCUA
rnacentral:rRNA from 1 species